CCGGCGCACGGGUGCGUAACGCGUAUGCAACCUACCAUCAACAGGGGGAUAACACUGAGAAAUUGGUACUAAUACCCCAUAAUAUCUCAUGCGGCAUCGCAUGGGGUUGAAAACUCCGGUGGUUGAUGAUGGGCAUGCGUUGUAUUAGCUGGUUGGUGAGGUAACGGCUCACCAAGGCGACGAUACAUAGGGGACUGAGACGGUUAACCCCCCACAUUGGUACUGAGACACGGACCAAACUCCUACGGAAGGCAGCAG
rnacentral:rRNA from 1 species